rnacentral:rRNA from 1 species
AGCCGCCGCGGUAAUACCAGCAGUUCAAGUUGCAUCCCUUUUUAUUGGGUCUAAAACAUCCGUAGCUUGCCAUCUAAGUCUCUUGUGAAAUCCUACGUCUCAAGCGUAGUGAAGUGCAGGAGAUACUGGGUGGCUGGAGAUCGGUAGACGUAAGGAGUACGCCGGAGGUAAUGGUAAAAUAUGUUAAUCUUCGGUGGACUAACAAUGAGCGAAGGCACCUUACGAGGACGAAUCUGACAGUGAGGGAUGAAGGCCAGGGGCGCAAAACGGAUUAGAUACCCGUGUAGUCCUGGCAGUAAACACUGUUCACUAAACAUCGGGCCCUCUUCGGGAGGAUUCGGUGCUGAAGCGAAGGCGAAGAGUGAACUACCUGGGAAGUAUAGUCGCAAGAUCGAAACUUAAAGGAAUUGGCGGGGAGACAUACAACGAGUGACGCGUGCGGUUCAAUUAGAUUUUACACCGUGAACCUCACCAGGAGCGACAGCAGGAUGAAGGUCAGUCUGAAGGGCUUACCCUGACACGCUGAGCGGAGAUGCAUGGCCGACGUCAGCCUGUGCUGUGAAGUGACCUGUUAAAUCAGGUAACAGGCGAGACCCGUGUCGAUAAUUACUACAGAAAUGGGUACCUUAUCGAGACUGCCUUGGUAACAAGGAGGAAGGUGCGGGCUACGUUAGGUGAGUACGUCCCUAAUCCCCUGGGCUACACGCGCGCGGCAAUGGUAUGUUCAAAUGGAUGCGACUCCGAAAGGAGAAGCUAAUCCCCUAACGCAUAUCUCAGUCCAGAUUGAGGGUUGCAACCCACCCUCAUAACGUUGGAAUUCGUAGUAAUCGGAUAUUAGCACUGUCCGGUGAAUAAGUCCCUGUCUCU